GAUAAACGCUGGCGGCGUGCCUAAUACAUGCAAGUCGAACGAGGAGUUCUUGUAGCAAUACGGGGACUUCCUAGUGGCGAAUGGGUGAGUAACGCGUUGGUGACCUACCCCAAAGAGAGGAAUAACUCCGGGAAACUGGAGCUAAUACCCCAUGUGGUUACCAGGGUUAGAGGCCUGGCAACUGAAGGAGCAAUCCACUUUGGGAGGGACCUGCGUCCCAUCAGCUUGUUGGUAGGGUAACGGCCUACCAAGGCUACGACGGGUAGGGGGCCUGAGAGGGUGGCCCCCCACACUGGCACUGAAACACGGGCCAGACACCUACGGGUGGCAGCAGUAGGGAAUAUUGCACAAUGGGCGAAAGCCUGAUGCAGCAACGCCGCGUGCGCGAUGAAGACCUUCGGGUUGUAAAGCGCUUUUCUGAAAGACGAGGAAGGACGGUACUUCAGGAAUAAGGAUCGGCUAACUACGUGCCAGCCGCCGCCGUAAUAC
rnacentral:rRNA from 1 species